rnacentral:rRNA from 1 species
UACGUAGGGUGCGAGCGUUGUCCGGAAUUAUUGGGCGUAAAGGGCUCGUAGGCGGUUUGUCGCGUCGGGAGUGAAAACUCAGGGCUUAACCCUGAGCCUGCUUCCGAUACGGGCAGACUUGAGUACUGCAGGGGAGACUGGAAUUCCUGGUGUAGCGGUGGAAUGCGCAGAUAUCAGGAGGAACACCGGUGGCGAAGGCGGGUCUCUGGGCAGUAACUGACGCUGAGGAGCGAAAGCGUGGGGAGCAAACAGG